rnacentral:rRNA from 1 species
UACGGGGGGUGCGGGCGUUGUCCGGAAUCACUGGGCGUAAAGGGCGCGUAGGUGGUCUGAUAAGGGUGUGGUGAAAGCCCGGGGCUCAACCCCGGGUCGGCCGUGCCGACUGUUAGACUAGAGUGCUGUAGGGGUAGGCGGAAUUCCGGGUGUAGCGGUGGAAUGCGUAGAGAUCCGGAGGAACACCAGUGGCGAAGGCGACACGCUGGGCCGUACCUGACACUGAGGCGCGAUAGCAUGGGGAGCAAACAGG